rnacentral:rRNA from 1 species
AUUGAACGCUGGCGGCAUGCUUUACACAUGCAAGUCGAACGGUAACAGGCCGCAAGGUGCUGACGAGUGGCGAACGGGUGAGUAAUGCAUCGGAACGUGCCCAGUCGUGGGGGAUAACGCAGCGAAAGCUGCGCUAAUACCGCAUACGAUCUAUGGAUGAAAGCGGGGGACCGUAAGGCCUCGCGCGAUUGGAGCGGCCGAUGUCAGAUUAGGUAGUUGGUGGGGGAAAGGCUAACCAAGCCAACGAUCUGUAGCUGGUCUGAGAGGACGACAAGCCACACUGGGACUGGGACACGGCCCAGACUCCGACGGGAGGCAGCAGUGGGGAAUUUUGGACAAUGGGCGCAAGCCUGAUCCAGCCAUUCCGCGUGCAGGAUGAAGGCCCUCGGGUUGUAAACUGCUUUUGUACGGAACGAAACGCGCCGGGUUAAUACCCUGGCGUAAUGACGGUACCGUAAGAAUAAGCACCGGCUAACUACGUGCCAGCAGCCGCCGUAA